UAAUCUGACCUAGAGCUGAAUGAACACAUAAGUUAAUAAACAAACCAAACUAAAUAAAGUAACGCAGCUCUCAGUGCAAAGUCGAGAAAAUAACCAGUCUCUCAGCAAGCUCCUGCUUGGAUCUAGCAAAGUCCAGCUUGUUAUUCUGCCACCUGCAGAA